GCCGGGGUAGCCGAGUGGUAAGGCGGCUGGCUGCAGACCAGCAGAUCCCGGGUUCAAAUCCCGGCCCCGGCU
rnacentral:tRNA from 1 species